GGGCCGUUAGCUCAGUUGGUAGAGCACCUGACUUUUAAUCAGGGUGUCCAGGGUUCGAGACCCUGACGGCCUA
rnacentral:tRNA from 1 species